rnacentral:rRNA from 1 species
UACGGAGGGUGCGAGCGUUUAAUCGGAAUUACUGGGCGUAAAGGGUGCGUAGGUGGUUUAUUAAGUUAUCUGUGAAAUCCCCGGGCUUAACCUGGGCAGGUCAGAUAAUACUGGUGAACUCGAGUAUGGGAGAGGGUAGUGGAAUUUCCGGUGUAGCGGUGAAAUGCGUAGAUAUCGUAAGGAAGACCAGUGGCGAAGGCGGGUCUCUGGACAGUUCCUGACGCUGAGGCACGAAGGCCAGGGGAGCAAACGGG